rnacentral:rRNA from 1 species
CCUAUGUCGGAUUAGCUAGUUGGUGAGGUAAUGGCUCACCAAGGCAGCGAUCCGUAGCUGGUCUGAGAGGAUGAUCAGCCACAUCGGGACUGAGACACGGCCCGAACUCCUACGGGAGGCAGCAGUGGGGAAUAUUGGACAAUGGGGGCAACCCUGAUCCAGCCAUGCCGCGUGUGUGAAGAAGGCCCUCGGGUUGUAAAGCACUUUCAGCGAGGAAGAACGCCUAGUGGUUAAUACCCAUUAGGAAAGACAUCACUCGCAGAAGAAGCACCGGCUAACUCCGUGCCAGCAGCCGCGGUAAUACGGAGGGUGCAAGCGUUAAUCGGAAUUACUGGGCGUAAAGCGCGCGUAGGUGGCUUGAUAAGCCGGUUGUGAAAGCCCCGGGCUAAACCUGGGAACGGCAUCCGGAACUGUCAGGCUAGAGUGCAGGAGAGGAAGGUAGAAUUCCCGGUGUAGCGGUGAAAUGCGUAGAGAUCGGGAGGAAUACCAGUGGCGAAGGCGGCCUUCUGGACUGACACUGACACUGAGGUGCGAAAGCGUGGGUAGCAAACAGGAUUAGAUACCCUGGUAGUCCACGCCGUAAACGAUGUCGACCAGCCGUUGGGUGCCUAGCGCACUUUGUGGCGAAGUUAACGCGAUAAGUCGACCGCCUGGGGAGUACGGCCGCAAGGUUAAAACUCAAAUGAAUUGACGGGGGCCCGCACAAGCGGUGGAGCAUGUGGUUUAAUUCGAUGCAACGCGAAGAACCUUACCUACCCUUGACAUCGACAGAAGCCGAGAGAGAUCUUGGUGUGCCUUCGGGAACUGUCAGACAGGUGCUGCAUGGCUGUCGUCAGCUCGUGUUGUGAAAUGUUGGGUUAAGUCCCGUAACGAGCGCAACCCUUGUCCUUAUUUGCCAGCGCGUAAUGGCGGGAACUCUAAGGAGACUGCCGGUGACAAACCGGAGGAAGGUGGGGACGACGUCAAGUCAUCAUGGCCCUUACGGGUAGGGCUACACACGUGCUACAAUGGCCGGUACAAAGGGCAGCGAGCUCGCGAGAGUCAGCGAAUCCCUUAAAGCCGGUCUCAGUCCGGAUCGGAGUCUGCAACUCGACUCCGUGAAGUCGGAAUCGCUAGUAAUCGCGAUCAGAAGCCGCG